rnacentral:misc_RNA from 1 species
GGAAGUAAAAGUCGUACAAGGUCUCCGUAGGUGAACCUGCGGAGGGAUCAUUACAGAGUUCGCGCCCUCGCGGGUAGAUCUCCCACCCUGUGUUAUUGCUACCUUUGUUGCUUUGGCGGGCCGCCCUCGGCUACCGGCCCCGGCUGGUACGCGCCCGCCAGAGGACCCCAAACCCUGAACGUCAGUGUCGUCUGAGUACUAUACAAUAGUUAAAACUUUCAACAACGGAUCUCUUGGUUCUG